rnacentral:rRNA from 1 species
GAUGAACGCUGGCGGCGUGCCUAACACAUGCAAGUCGAGCGAUCUCUUCGGAGAGAGCGGCGGACGGGUGAGUAACGCGUGGGUAACCUGCCCUGUACACACGGAUAACAUACCGAAAGGUAUACUAAUACGGGAUAACAUACGAAAGUCGCAUGGCUUUUGUAUCAAAGCUCCGGCGGUACAGGAUGGGCCCGCGUCUGAUUAGCUAGUUGGUAAGGUAAUGGCUUACCAAGGCAACGAUCAGUAGCCGACCUGAGAGGGUGAUCGGCCACACUGGAACUGAGACACGGUCCAGACUCCUACGGGAGGCAGCAGUGGGGAAUAUUGCACAAUGGGCGAAAGCCUGAUGCAGCAACGCCGCGUGAGCGAUGAAGGCCUUCGGGUCGUAAAGCUCUGUCCUCAAGGAAGAUAAUGACGGUACUUGAGGAGGAAGCCCCGGCUAACUACGUGCCAGCCGCCGCCGUAA